rnacentral:rRNA from 1 species
AGUAAUGUCUGGGAAACUGCCUGAUGGAGGGGGAUAACUACUGGAAGCGGUAGCUAAUACCGCAUAACGUCUUCGGACCAAAGUGGGGGACCUUCGGGCCUCACGCCAUCGGAUGUGCCCAGAUGGGAUUAGCUAGUAGGUGGGGUAAUGGCUCACCUAGGCGACGAUCCCUAGCUGGUCUGAGAGGAUGACCAGCCACACUGGAACUGAGACACGGUCCAG